CAGUCGCCGCGGUAAAACGGAGGGCGCGAGCGUUACCCGGAUUUACUGGGCGUAAAGGGCGUGUAGGCGGCCUGGGGCGUCCCAUGUGAAAGGCCACGGCUCAACCGUGGAGGAGCGUGGGAUACGCUCAGGCUAGAGGGUGGGAGAGGGUGGUGGAAUUCCCGGAGUAGCGGUGAAAUGCGCAGAUACCGGGAGGAACGCCGAUGGCGAAGGCAGCCACCUGGUCCACUUCUGACGCUGAGGCGCGAAAGCGUGGGGAGCAGACCGGAUUAGAUACCCCCGUAGUCCCUGUCUCUUAUAC
rnacentral:rRNA from 1 species